rnacentral:rRNA from 1 species
UGGGGAAUAUUGGACAAUGGGCGAAAGCCUGAUCCAGCAAUGCCGCGUGUGUGAAGAAGGCCUGCGGGUUGUAAAGCACUUUCAGUUGGGAGGAAAAGCAGUGGGCUAAUACCCCGCUAUCUUGACGUAACCAACAGAAGAAGCACCGGCUAACUCUGUGCCAGCAGCCGCGGUAAUACAGAGGUGGCAAGCGUUGUUCGGAUUUAUGGGUGUAAAGGGCAGGUAGGUGGUCGCGCAAGUCCGUUGUGAAAUCCUAGGGCUCAACCCUAGAACUGCAAUAGAAACUGCGCGGCUUGAGUACUGGAGAGAUGAGGGGAAUUCUCGGUGUAAGGGUGAAAUCUGUAGAUAUCGAGAGGAAUACCAGUGGCGAAGGCGCCUCAUUGGCCAGUAACCUGACACUGAGCUGCGAAAGCAAGGGGGAGCAAACAGGAUUAGAUACCCUGGUAGUCCUUGCCGUAAACGAUGUGGAUUAGGUGUUGGGAGUGUCG